GCACUGAUGCAAUUGGCUAGCUGGGUGGUAGUUGGGGGUGGAACUGCUGUUUGCUCUCCUGCUUGUUUAGAGACAGAGUUUCAAGUAGCCGCACCUGCUUCGAACUUUAUAUGUAGUCAAGGAUAACCUUGAACUCCUGGUUCUUUUCCCUCUACUUCCUGAGUGCUCUACCGGAAUUACAGUGUUGCAUCGCUAUCCCUGGAGCUAUGCUUAAUGACGAGGAAGGAGGCCCCGACCUGAGAAGCUUGCAGCUACACAAAGUGCAGCCUGGGCCUUGAGUCACAGCCCCUGAUGGGCCGAGAAGUCAUACCCUGUCAGAGACAAAGCCAAAGUGCGUCUAUCCCAGCAGCCAAGGCUAAGAGAUGGAGACUCCAGUCCCUGGGACUCCUUCUGCAUCUGAAUUAAUCUCUUAAAAAACAAUCGUGGGCUCCAGAUGAAGAACAGUUUCCCAACAGCUGGAGGACGCUUGCAGGAGGCAAGUUUUAAAGAACAGAGCCAGGAAGGAAGACAGAGACACCGAAGGAACCACCAGCCAGUGUUGUUUGGAGAAGUCUGAUGUCUUCAGCUGGCUUGUUAUUAAUUAUCGCACCUACAGCUUCGCGCCCUGAGAAGCCCGCAGUUAAACCGGCGAGUUAAGUCGCGAGAGUGUUCUGGGUUGUCUGCACAGUUAAUCAAAAAUUAUGCUAUCUUUAACUUUAUUCAAAGGGAGAGAUGUCUUUUUUCUUUCUUCCAGUAUUGGCGUCUUCUUACUGAGUUUUAAGGAUGAAAGAUUGGAGCUAGAAUAUCAAGCAGAUGCCCAGCGGAUGCAGCUGGAUUUCGAGCAUAAUAACCAGCAUCCCAAAGGAGGACCUUGUUCUAUUGUGCCGGAUGAAACAGGUCAGGGAGCAGUCGGGGGUUCAUAGGGUUCAAGAUGGGAAGAAUGGGAUGACCCCUAGAGCCAGGAUACUUCCAGACUUCGAACUUGCAUGCAGAUUGGACCCUGCAUGAAGCACUCUCACCUUGGUCCCCUGCUCCACCGAACUCUUUCAGAGACGGGGAACGCAAGCGCCUGCCCUUCUGCUGCAUGGCCUGGCCUGAGUCUGAUCUGAGAGAGGGAAGCCUGUUGCCCUGGGUCAUGGCUGAGGCCUCAAGAGUUCUGAAGCCCAUCCACACUGGUAAUGAGUCCGGACUGGGGAUCACAGAAAUUAGAGAUUGAGAAAGCUCUCAGACAAGCUUGGGGGCUGCCUGCCAGUCUCGGAGAUGGCCUCGCUCUGCAGAAUCACAGACGGACGGGAGAGGGUUCUAGUUUGUCCGGGCUUCUUUGACGGUGCAAGCUUGGGAGCCCAUAAAACUUUUGUUUUGCAACUCCUCCUCACAAACUGGAUGUCUUUACCUUUAGUGACAGGUAUUUUCUUUGUAUUUGGGGCUAAAGGUCAGCGGGAAUAAAACCUUAGCAUCCUAGGAAAUCUAUGACAAACAUAAUAAAAUAAUGAGAAGGUAGUCUCCAGUCCCCAUCAACCAAAACCCAGCUUCCAAACCUGUUUUUUUUUUUAGAUGAAAGCCUAUUAAUUAAAUAAAAAAUUUUAACUUGAAA
rnacentral:sRNA from 1 species